rnacentral:tRNA from 1 species
GGAGAGGUGUCAGAGUGGUCGAAUGUACCGGACUCGAAAUCCGGUGUGGCGUUAUGCGUCACCGUGGGUUCGAAUCCCACCCUCUCCACCA